UUGUGUGGUUAAGAGGUUCAUUGCUGUGAGGGAUAAGAUUUUGCAGUGAACUAUGGCUUCUGCAUCAGCAUCUCUUCUCAAGUCAUCACCUGUUCUCGACAAGUCUGAAUGGGUGAAGGGACAAACCCUCCUCCGACAACCUUCUAUGUCAGUCGUAAGAUGCAACCCCGCCGCUCCAUCGAGUCUCACCAUCAGAGCUGGUUCCUAUUCUGACGAGCUCGUCAAGACCGCGGUAUGAUAGUUAAAACAACUUUGCCAAAUACUCAUACUAGAAGCAUCUUAUAACUGAACAUAGUUGUUCAAAUAAAUAUGCUAGUAAAAAUAUAGAUUCACAACCAUAUAAGUUUUAAUUCUUCUUUGCACAGUGGACUUCUAGUUUUCAAACUAGCUUGUUGGUUAAAACAUGUAUACUAUUGAUGAACUUCAAUUAUAACUUUUCCUGUUCUUGUGUGUGUGCGGAUGUAUACAGAAAACAAUUGCUUCACCGGGGCGUGGUAUUUUGGCUAUGGAUGAGUCUAAUGCUACAUGUGGGAAGCGUUUGGCUUCAAUUGGGUUAGAGAACACUGAAGUUAAUCGCCAAGCAUGGCGUACCCUUCUGGUGACAGUUCCAACACUUGGACAGUACAUUUCUGGUGCCAUUCUCUUUGAGGAGACUCUCUACCAAUCCACUACUGAUGGAAGGAAAAUUGUCGAUGUGCUUACCGAGCAAAACAUUGUUCCCGGUAUCAAAGUUGACAAGGUAAGCCAUUUGGAAUUGCUCUAUGUAAUUCCAACUAAUGAAUUUUCAAUUUGUUAGUUAGUUAAAUGAUGAAUUUUCAGUUUGUGCUAUGCUGAACAAAUAAUGAAUUUUCAGUUUGCUAGUUAGUUAAAUGAUGAAUUUUUAGUUUGUGCUAUGCUGAACAAAUAAUGAAAAGAAUAAGCCCGAGUGCUAGAUUAUACUUUUAUGAUAUCUACUUAAGUUUAUUUUUACCAUCAUUCGUAGUUGUAAGUUUGUCCAUAUAGAGAGAUGUGUCAUACAGUUAUAGGAAAUAAAUUGAAAAUUGACGUUUCAGUUUUCAAGCAAACAUCAUUGAAGUUAUUCGGUACCUUCAUUGAGACUUACGUAUAUGAAAUGAUUAUAUCAGGACAAUAAGCAAACCUUCCUUUUGAGGGAGUGAGGAAAUAUUUAUGGGAAUUGAACCAUUUGGGCACUCUCAUUUUCCAAUAAAACAUCAAACAAUAAUAUCUACUAAAAGUAGUGUAAUUUUUUCUUGGUUGGUACUAGUAGUAUGGUAUUUUAUCAGGCAGAGAUGAUUUUUAAAACAUGGUUUAUGUACUGAGAACAAUAGGGUCUGGUGCCCCUAGCUGGUUCCAACGAUGAGUCAUGGUGCCAAGGUCUAGACGGUCUUGCGUCUCGUUCAGCUGCAUACUACCAGCAAGGUGCCCGUUUCGCCAAAUGGUUAGUGUGUACUUGAUCUCCCUGUGGAAGAAAAUCAGAAUUGCAUGCACUUAUUUGUUUAUUUGAAACUUGUCAUGCUUUUUUUUUAACCUCAUGAAUUUCAAUCACAUAUUAGGCGUACUGUUGUGAGCAUCCCAAACGGUCCCUCUGCUCUGGCAGUCAAGGAAGCAGCCUGGGGUCUGGCUCGCUAUGCUGCUAUUAGUCAGGUGAGAAAACCACUCAAAUUAUAUAAGUAAUUCCUUUUAAUGCAUAGUUAUUAAAUCAAUAGUUCUUUCAAGUUUUAUAAAAUGUCUGUGGCUACUAUAGUUACUGAUAUGUCCGUCGUAUUUGACUGCCAUUUUCUAUAAUAACAAAGAUCGCUACAUGAGAGUGAUUUAAAACAUUGUCUUCGAUUUGAUACUUUUUAAACAUCUAGGAAGCAGGCCUUUAUAUUUCUAUUGUUAUCUGAAGGGCAAAAAUAUGUUCAUUUAAUGGUUUGUUAGGACAAUGGGUUGGUCCCAAUUGUGGAACCAGAGAUCUUGCUUGAUGGAGAACACGGUAUUGACAGGACUUAUGAAGUAGCCCAGAAGGUUUGGGCUGAGGUUUUCUUCUACCUUGCUGAGAACAAUGUCGAGUUUGAGGGUAUUCUCCUCAAACCUAGCAUGGUUACACCUGGAGCUGAGAGCAAGGACAAGGCCUCUCCUGCAAAGGUUGCUGAGUAUACCCUCAACCUCCUUCACAGGAGAAUUCCCCCUUCUGUCCCUGGUAUCAUGGUAUGUAACAUUAAUUAAAUACAUUAUUAUUUGUAUUCCUAACUUUUAUCUUUGUUCAUAUGCUGACCAAAGUUGUAUAUUGUAUUCUGUUAAUGUAGUUUUUGUCUGGUGGACAAUCUGAGGUUGAAGCAACUCUCAAUUUGAAUGCCAUGAACCAAUCUCCAAACCCAUGGCACGUGUCGUUCUCAUAUGCAAGAGCUCUUCAAAAUACCGCAUUGAAGACAUGGGGAGGACGCGCAGAGAAUGUGAAGGCAGCACAAGAUGCGCUCCUUUUCCGCGCCAAGUCAAACUCCAUUGCUCAGCUUGGAAAGUACACUGGUGAGGGUGAAUCCGAGGAAGCCAAGAAGGAAUUGUUCGUCAAAGGCUACUCCUAUUAAAAUAUUGGUAGUGAAUAUGAUGAUACAUGUUAGACAGCAGCACUAGCAGUUAAUGAUGGUGUUGACGGAGGAUUGAAUAUUAUGUAAGACUAAUUUGUCGAAAAUGUGUGAUGUUUUAUAUAGUCUUGGAAACUAUUUUUUAUUUUUCUCGUUUGUGGUUAUUAUUACAUGCACUGUUACAACUUCCAUGAAAUAUUUUGCUAUGAGUUUGUACUUAAAUAUGUCUUCAAUAUACAUCCAAAUGUUUUAAAAUUUGGCAGUCCAUAAAACCGAAUUAAAAAUGAGAGAUAAAAAUUUUGUUCCACAUGGAUGAUCCAUGGAAAGAAGGUUGCGGCAUGAUAUAUUAUUUCGUACUGAACUCGGUAUUGUUGAGGAAGCUCCUCUUUAGAGGUUAGAGUUAGACUCUUGACGACUAAUAUCAACAGAAGGGACCAAAUAACCAAAACCACUCUUAUAUUUGGUCUUCACAGCAUAUUCCACAGAGAACCCUGGGAAUCACAAAGCUUCAAGCCAACCUUCAUGGGAGAAAUAGCAUUAUGAAGGUCCCCCAUUAAGUUUAGGCCCUUGUUGGCAAUUUAUAUAGGCUUCCGAAUUGAGAAGUUUCCUACCGCAAUCUCUUGUAACUCAAAUAUUAAAGUCCUACAUUGGAUAAUUUAUACAUGUGAGAUUUUUCAUCACUAUAUAAAGAGUGCCAAAUUUUUGUAAAAAGUACAUCAAAACUAAAUGCAAUUUACAAAUUCCCCUCUUCUGCUCGAUGCAUUUUUGCAACUAAGAUGAUAAUUUUGUUCUUUUAAUUUUAACUAAUAAUAAAAAUAAAUGUUAUAUUUUGCUAAAAAGCUAUAUAAAUUAUAAUUGAAGUUAAAAGAAUGUGUUCUUUUAAGUUAAACAAAUAUUUUUUUAAAUUGAAAUAAUGGUAUUUCACCACAUAGUUGCUGCUACCUUUGUGCAACACGGGCGUCGAAACAUGAGAUACCUCAUGGCUGAGUUAGGUGAGAGUAAGGGAAAAUAUAUUAGGUCGAACUAGGUUUUGUAAGACUUAAGUCUAAUCUAAUUAAAAAACUAAAGUCUAAGUUUAAUCAAUUAUCUGUCACGAGAAUAUUUUUAGGACUUUUGUGACCUUUGUGCUUUUUAGUCUAUGGAAUGUUAAUGUCUUUCAAUAAAAUUUAAUGUAAACUAGGCCAUAGGUUUUAAUUUGUCGAUCUCAAUCAAAUCUAUUUUCAUCUAUGUGAACCGAGUUUUAUCCCUCGAGUCAGGUAGGACUACAACGGGCGGCAAAAUUCUCCUUCAAGAAAUUUGACAUUGUUACAUUCCUAGGAUUGAAUUUGAAUCUUAAGCCUCUGAUUAUUCUAAAAGAGACUCUUACCAUUUCAUCCAAGUAAUUUUGGAACCUAAUUUUUGGAUUUGAGUUUCUUGACUUUUGUUUGUUGUAUUUUUUUUACAAGUUGUUUUUUUUAGUUAUUGCUUACUUAUAUAUAUAUAUAUAUAUAUAUAUAUAUAUAUAUAUAUAUUUGUUUUGUGUUAUAUGUUUUAGUUUUUGUUUUAAAUUAGAGAAAUUUACUCCUCAUCCCUACUUAUAUCACCCACCUCUCAUAUCACUUAAAAAUAUCUUUUUACCCUUUAUUAUUUUUUAUGAAAAAUAUGUUAUUAAAAGUUGGCAUUUACAAUCAACCUUUAUAAAAAUCACUUAUAGAAAAUUUUCAAAUUUUUGAAAUUUGAUUGAUUACAAAAUAUUCGAAAGAUGUUAUUAAAAGUUGACAUUUACAUUCAACUUUUAUAAAAACCACUUAUAGAAAAUUUUCAAAUUUUUAAAAAGUUGGUUGAUUACAAAAUCUUCAAAAUACAAAGUGAGUUCAGAUUUUUGGAAUUUGAAAGUUUUAUUCAGUUUAAAAGUUUCAAAAUAGAGUUUAUUAGAUUUGUUAAAUAUUUUCAAGAACUUUAACAACAAAAAUUGAAACGUCAACUUUUCGGAACUUUAAAACUUUCGAAACAUGAAUUUUUCAAAAGUUUCAAAAACAAACCUUUUGAAAUAUAAUAUUACAUUUUGCAACUUUCGAUUAAAAUGAAAAUUUCUAAAAUUUGGGAUAUUACUGAAAUUUUUUAAAUGUUUUUUUUUUAAAUAAUCACAUUAAUUUUUAAAAUUUUGUAUUUACAAAUUAAAUAUUAAUUAAACUUUGUAUAUUUUUUAACUAAUAUAUUUUAACAAAUUGAAUCAGGUAUGAGUGGAAUUGAUGGUGAAGUCCUUACUACACCGACCGUAGAUUCUACUGACAAAUUCACGACUGAUCAGGUACUCUUAAUAAUGAUUGAUAUUAUUAGUUUUUAAUGUAUACACAUAUGUUGAUGUUUGAUCUUAAAUAUAUUUUGUGGAUAUUUUUUUCUCAAGAAGUUGUAUUCGAAUAUACAAAAACUAUUGGAAGACAAAUGAAAUAAUAAUUGUUACCAUUAGUUCUAAUACAAAACUAGAAAAAGAGGAAGAAAUGACAAAUUGAUUUUGGAGUGUGAAAGAGGUGAAAGAUAUAAAGUAAAAUUUAAAUCAACAUUAACUUGUUAUGACAAAGGUUAUUGUCCAUUCAAACUGAGAUCUAUAUUGUUGAAGAAGUAUGAAAAAUUAGUGUUCGAUGUCGAACAUAUAAUCAUAAUUUAGUGGAUACUUUAUACUAUCAUUCUUAUUUGAGACAUUUAAAUGAAGAAGAGAAAAAAAUUUGUUAAUGACAAGACAAAGAUAAUCUCAAAGUUUCCACUCAAAUAUAUAAAGAAAUGAGUACUUAUUGACCAUCUUUGAGAGAUUCGUACAUAAAAAUGCAUCAUCUAUUGAAGUUAAUACAAAGUGAAAGUUAUGUGCAAUGGACAAGAAGUUGAGAUUAUAUAGAUGUUUUGAGAGACAUAUUUUAGACGCAUCUUGAUUGUAUAUAGUUGUUGAACAUGUUUCAUUUUGUUUUGAUAUGUGACAACACAUACAAAACAAAUAGAUAUCGGCUACCAUUUUCUUAAAAUUGUCGGUGUAGUAUCUACAAAGUUACAUUUUUUUUAGCAUUUGCUUACUUGAAACAAGAGCGACAACAAAACUUCUUCUGACCAUUUGAAAAGUUGAAACAAUUGUUCGUUUUUUAGAAUUUAGUAUAUAAAUUUAUUGUAGCCAGUAGAAAUCUUGCCAAGAUAAAUGUUAUUGGAGUUGUAUUUCAUAUAACAAUUAAAGCUUUAUUAGAUUGGAGUGAAGAAUUUUGAUCUUUAGUUUGGACUUAUUUGGACAAAAAGAUCAAUCUAUAUAAGGAUCUUUAUUCCAAUGUUUUAUAUGACAAUUCAAAAAAUAAGGAACUCAUUGAAGAUAUCUAGUUUGGGUGCUCAAGAAAAAGAAAAGUCGACGACUCUAGCAGAGAUGGGUUACAUGAUAGAAAUAAGAUAUAAUAUCGUGUUGGUGUCAUUGUCUCAUAAUUUGAACAUGACAUUCUUUCUACUGAAGAAACCACCAUGUAAUUCUUCUUGUAAUUCUAUAAUAACAAUUGUAUUUGUCAAUGAACUAUAUUGGAUACAUGAAAAAUUUAUGAUAAAAUUUAAUACUUUAAUAGUAAGUUAAUGUUUAAUAGUAAACUAAUUUUAAAUAUUUUAUUGUGAAGGUAAAAUUGAAGUAUGAUUGUCGUUUGUCGUUCACCUCAUGCAAAUGGAGAGACGUCUCAAGCAUUAGAAAUACAUAGAUCCAACAUUUAUCAAACAAUCAUGUGUUUCAUUAAAUCAAAAGUAAUUUGUAUGUGUUAGAUUGCACCGAUUGAAUUGUUGUUUCUAUAAAUCUACUUUAGUUGAUCCAUAAAAUUCACCAUGAAGUUUUAGGUGUGUUGUUUGUUUAUUUUGGACAAAUGAAAUAGUAGUUGCAUAGUUGAUCGAAAAUAAAAAUAAACCAUAAAGAGAAUUAUAUUCACGAUAUAAAUAAAACAGUGGUCAAACAAUAAAAUAGAACUCCAAAAUAAUACAAACUAUAAACACAAUCUACUAAUGGCCUAUCUGGAACAUGCAGAGUAACUCACAUAAUAUCUAAUGAAUUUAUCCAUCUCGAUUUACUAUUUUUAUGGCAUUUUGUAAGAGUUCAGAUGCUCUAGCGUCUUAUGCAAAAGAUAGACCGACUUAUCAAGAAGACGAUGGAACAGGUGGAACAUCAAGGAGGAUAUCAGGAUGUGAACAUCAAGUAUUGUUGAGGUAAAAACAUUCUUUAUAUAUAUUUUAAUGACAACAAAUUUUAUGAAAUAAAUGUUUAAGUUUUAUGAAUGGUGAUCUAUUGAUAAUUCACUUGAGUUUUAUUUAAGCAACGUAAAUCACAUAAAUGGACAAGCAAGAAACCAUUCACAUCAACAAGUUCAUAAAUAUCUAUUCAAUGGUGAAAGAAUCAAAGUAGCGUAAGAAGAUUACAAUAAUAAUAUCAUAAGCUUCAUGGAGAUAUUAGAAGACAUUUUUCCAAACAAGUUUAUGAACUCAUGAGAAUCAAACAAGUCAAAAGUUCUCCCAAAAAUCAAAUGCAACAAGUGUUCAAAAUGUUCUAAAUCAAAGAAUAAGGAGAAUAAUCAAAAUGAUCAUUUGAUACAUUAAGAAAUGUUUUAAAUGAAUAUAUUAUAGAUUCAAACAUAUAUGAAGAUAAAUAAAGAAGUCAAAGAACAUCUUUAUGCCAGAAUCUCAAAAUGACUAUAUCAUAUACUAUAUCAAUCAUUCAAGAUAAUGAUUGUUGAAUAUUCAAGAUAACAUCUUCAUGAACAAAGUAUACAAUAUAUUGAUACAUAUAUAAAGCAUCUCGGUGAUACUAGAUGAAUAAGACACAACAUGAGCAACACUAAGAGAAAAUGUAGGAAGUUUUGCUUGAACAAAAAAUUUAUCCUCUCAUAUAGAAGAUAAUAUUCUCAAUUGCUAUGAGAGAAUGUUCUGAUGAUGAAUAAUUUCAUUGCACUCAUAAAUAUUAAUAUCAAUUCAGCAAAAUAUCAAGAAUCGACUUUAAAGAAUAAAUUAUUUCAAGAUUGAGUCAUUUAUUAAGUCAUUUGUUAAAAGAAUGACAAAAGAACAUCCAGAGUGUUCUUCUUGUUCUAUUAAAGAACAAUUGACAAAAAUAAUCUUUUUGGAGGGCAACUUGCAGUAAAUCAGUUGGUAUUUUGCACACUGGCUGUCAAACUUAAUGGGCAUUAAAAAGAUACAAAGAUUGAAGGCCCACAUGCACAAACACACUUUGAGAUUGAUCUCUAGAUUGAUAAGUGGUGAACAAUGAUAAAAGGAUACAAGUACAUUGUACUAUCCCUUUUUUUUUUGCAAAAAUCUAGGCAUACUUUUGAUUACACACAGUGUCAAAUGACAGUUGACAGCUCACUAUCACACUUAUUCACGUUUUCUUUCAAACUCAAAAGUAAAAAGGUUAUAGGUUUGUGAAGAAUGUUUUGCACAAUAAUAUAAAUAUGUGUAAAAUAUUUUAAAACAGAUCUAACACUUGGUUGAUGUGUUUGACGACUAUUUUCAACUUUAUCUAAGUUUUUAAAUCUCUCUUCAUCUAUAAAAGGAAGAUCAAUCAGAAGAUAAAGACUCUUCAAGCAAAACUCAACUCUCUUCAUUAUAUAUUUAGAUCGUCCUUAUUGAGUUUUGCUUUCAAUUAAUCUCAAAUAAAGAGUUGAGAAUCAUUAGAUCUCAAACACAUUUAUCAUACACAUUAUAAUUGACUCAAGUCUAUCUUUUAUGUUAGAUUGCGUGUGUUUGUAAAAAUAUUUUCUAGAUUGAAAUGUGACUGUAAAAAUCAUUUCUAGAUUAAAAGGUGAAUAUUAUAAUUGAUCAAGACAAAAGGUGCAAAGGAGAACUAGCUCUGAAGCACAUAGGAAAAAUCUCUCACGGUUGUAAGAAUUAUCUUAGUCUGAGUUAGGUGAACCAAUAUAUAUUUUAGGUGUGAUCCUUUUAUCCCUUAUCUUGAAUUAUUUGCAUGCACAAACAAACUUCAUUAUAAUUGUUUUUAUUUACAUAUUCUUUAUUUCAUAUAAAUUGUCUACAAUGUUCUAAUCAGUUAACAACUUACUAAUCAACUUUUGAUUAUCAACUUUAAUCUUGAGUAAAGUAUUGUUACCCAUAAUAGCUCACGUCCAAUAAUCACAACAUUAUUAAUAUUCAUAUUUAUUGGUGCACUAAAUAACCUAUCACGAGGAGAAAUGUGCAAAAGAGUCGUGGCAUCAUUCAGUGUCAUAGUCAUCUCCUUGAAUGACAUGUGAAACGAGUUGGUCUCUCGAUGUCAUAUUUCUACAAAGACAAAUAUGAUAUCAACGUCAAUCAUCGUCAAAUAAGUUAAAGACAAGUGCACCAAUUUAGAUUCUUGAAUCCAAUGUUGUGUAAUAUCAAGUACCUCCACUUCAACAAACUCCUUCAGAUUCAAAUUGUGCAUGGUCACCUUCAACGGACCACGGUACUAUAAGUAAUUAAAAAACAUAAUAACAUAAUAGUAAAAUAAUGUACUAAAUUUCAUUACAAAAAUGUAUUAAAUAUAAUAUACUUAUUUUUAACUAACAAAACUUAAUUAAUUAAAAUAUACUUCUCUUUCCCAUAUUCUACAAGCCAUAUGGUGUUUUUAUUGUGUUAACACUGAUGUGUCCAGAGUUUUAUAUGGAAUCCACGCUCUUGGACCUGCUCUUUGGAUGUAUGAUCCCCAGCUUCCUUAUAGUCCAUCUUAUCAUGUUGGUUAUUUUGUUCAGACACGUUUACAUCAUUGUUAAUUUUCUGAAAUCACGUCUACGACGAUGUUGGUGAGUUAUACGGUUAGCCUCAUACAUAUGUCGAUUAGAUGUAGUGGAUGGUACUCUUUUGCCUACAUUGUCGGAGGUAAUAAUAAUUUAUUCAUUCCAGCCUUUCGUCCUAGUCACUAACAUAAAAUAAACAUAUGAAUAAUUGUAUGCCAAACAAAUAUCAAAUUUUUUUAAUGUUUCGAAAUUUCAUUUUUCCGAAAAAUUUGCAAACUUUUGACAUGGUUGAAAGUUUCAAAGAUUUCGUAAAUAUGUUUCGAAAGUUUCAAAGCGUUCGAAACUUUCAAAAAUUGUUAAUUCCUCUAUUUUUGAAGUCUCAGAUUGUUUGAAACUUUGGAAUAUAUUUUGAAAUUCUAGAAAUUACAUUUUAAAGGUUUGAAAUUCAUCAAAAAGUUCGAAAACUAACUUACUUGUGUUUUGAGGUGUUAGAAAAAAGUUUCAAAUAUUUUGAAAGUUUCGAAUAUGUGAUUGAAAAGCAAAGCAGCAAAAAUUUUCAACUUGAUAUAUAGUACAAAGAGUGAAAAUAUAUUUUUAAGUGUAUUAAAAGGUGAGGUGUAUAGGUGGGGGAGUGUAGAGUAUAUUUCCCUUUAAACUAUCUUCUCUGUGUGGGCUUCUAGGCCUGCUUUGGUAUUGCUGUUUUUUAUGAGUGCAUUUGAAUUGGAAUGAACCUUAUUUUCUUCGUGUUUCUUAUUUACUAGAGACCCAAAAGUUUCCGUAGCCCACAAAUGUAUUGAAAUUAUAUAAUAUUGUUAUAAAUUAUGUUGACUAUGUUAAUUAUGUUUUAGUUAUAUUAGUUUCCAUAGCCCACAAAUGUAUUAAUAUUAUAUAAUAGUUUCCAUAGUCCACAAAUUUAUUUUUGUGAAAUAGCUAUAUUAGUUAUGUUAACUACUCACUUUUUUUUUAAAUAGCUGUAUUGGUUAUUUCCAAUUACGUAAUUUUUUUUUAAAUUAAAAAAGAAAACGUUUGACUUAACGUAUUUUUGUCUUUUAUUUUAUCAAUGUGCACAAAAGUAGUUUUCCACUUUUAAAAUUAAUGACAUGUUUGACAUUAAUCAUGUGGCCAUGAUAAAGCACUAUUAAAUUUAUAUUUUUUCAUCUCAUUGAAAAUUAAAAUAAUAUAUUUUAGUGAUAAUAAAAAUAUUUUAAAAAAUUAAAAUAAAUUACAAAAGGAUGAAAUUUAAAAUAAUAAAAAAAUAUUUUCAGAAUUUAUUUUAAAUUUUUAAAAAUAAUUUUGUUAUUUUUAAAAUGGAUUAUUUUAAUGUUUGAUGAGGUGAAUAAAUCUAAAUCCAAUUUUAUUUUGUCAUCGUGUUUUUUUUUGUUAAAAUAGUUUAAUAUUAGACUCACAGUUGUCAAAAUUCUUUCUAUUUUCUCUCUUUAUUUGUCUUCUCUAUUACUAUAAUUUAAAUAAUAAAAAAUUGGUUGUAAUAAAUGAAGAGAUAAAGGUGAAGAAUCUCAAUUUGAAGUGAUCAAUAAUUUGAGUGUUUUUCCCUUUUAAAAAAAUUAAGUUCUGGUUUGUCUUGUGAGUUUGACUGAUUCUGCUAUGAUUAUGAUCUUAAACUUUUAGUAGGUUAAGCAAUAAGAUAAGCUUUUUUAAUUGAAGAUUUAAUUUUAGAUAAUUUAGGUUGAAGGAAGUGAUUAAUCGGUGGUGUUGUUCGUUGCUUCUUUGCAGGUUUUGAGUUCAUUGGUUUGAACUUUGAAGAUAUUGCUUCAUUAAUUUGUAGGACCAAAACUCUCAUACUAUACUAUACUGGCUUUGUGUUAAUUAAGGUAUUGUUUGCAUUUUCUGGUUAAUAAAAUAAGGAACUAAUCAUUUACUUAACUGUUAGUUUUUGUUAAUUUUCAAUUGCAACUGUCAUGGAAAAUAUUAUAAAUCACUAAAACCUUAUUUUUUGUCAUACUAGUAAAAUAUCCAUGAAUUUGUGUCAUACUAGUACAUGUUUGGUUAUUUCUGUAUGCUUUUCUGGUACCAACUUACUCAAAAUUGAUUAUGGACUUAACACUGUUGUAAACCACUACAUCAUGGAGGAAAAUUCUAGGGUCUCUUUUGCACUACUAAGGCACACAUUCUCUUCUACAAGAUGUAAAAAUUUUCAUGUGGCAGGGGGAAAAAAGAAAAUCAGAAGAAGGAGGCCACUGAGACAUGGCAUUGUUUGAUGACUCGUUACCCCAAUCUCACCAAUCCUGGUAUUAAAUGAGGACCAUAUAUCAUUGAGAUGGAGACAAAAUGAUUUAAUCAGAAAAGCAAAUUAUGACCUCACACUUAUUUUUCCUACAAACAAACAAUAAUAAUUGGUACCCUUUUUGAUGCAUGUUAUACAUAUGUACAACCUAGUUAGAAAAUGAGAAAAAUAUAUGUCUCCAUAAUAUUAUUGUUCAUUUUUUAAACGGUGAGAAAAAAACCAGUAAUCAGAAUGAGAAUGCCAAGCAAGCAGGAGUUAUCAUCCACAUGUCAUGUGAAGAUAGGUUGGCUCACAGCAGCCUCAAAUGAGACAUCACUUGACAAUAAUAAAUACAGAGAAAGCAUUGCUUAAGUUGUGUGGUAAAGAGGUUCAUUGCUGUGAGUGUGAGGGAUAAGAUAGUAGUUCUGGUUAAGCAGAUAGUGAAAAAUGGCCUCAGCAUCAGCAUCUUUUCUCAAGUCAUCACCUGUUCUUGACAAGUCUGAAUGGGUGAAGGGACAAACCCUCCUCCGUCAACCUUCUAUGUCCGUCGUAAGAUGCAACCCCGCCGCUCCAUCAAGUCUCACCAUCAGAGCUGGUUCCUAUUCUGACGAGCUCGUCAAGACCGCGGUAUGAUAGUUAUAACUUCAAAGUUAAAACAGCUUGCAAGUUACUAAAACUAGAAGCAAUAUUUCAUAGUUUAACUUAGUUCUUCAAGCAAACAUGCUAGAAAUAUAGAUUUACAACCAUAUUCAGUUUUAAUUUUUCUUUGCCUAGUAGAAUUCUAGUUUUCAAACUAGCUUUUUGGUUAAAGAAUGUAUACUAUUGAUGAGCU
rnacentral:lncRNA from 1 species